GCGCUCAUUUCCGUUUCCGAAUCCGACGUCACCUACUCUGAAAGCCCGUGUGUUUUGUGUUUCUUUGGGGCCACGAUGAUUAUCGCUAAUUUAACGUUGAAAUUAUUGAAAUUGAAACUAGAUUUCUUCAUGUCGUAAAAAUAUCUAAAGCAAAACACUAAGUAAACAUUUUUACCUACAACUUAUAAACUGAUAAAAAAAAAGUGUAACAUUAUAUAAAAAAACUUAAACAAGUUUAACUCGUAAUUGUACAUCAUAAACAGAAUCUUGGGCAAAAUGGGCAUUCAAGAUUUGCAAAUUUUUCUGGAUAACAACUAUGUACAAGGAGGAUCCGUACCUGUAGAUCUGUUAAAAAUAGCACGUUCGAUUACACAGAGACAGCAGAAUCGUGUUGGAAAAUCCCAGCAAUUGCAUGCUGGGAAAUUAAGACUAGUCUUGGAUGGAGAGUGCUGUUUAGAUAGAUUAUAUGGAGGAUACUUCUCAGAUUGGGCUUGUGGAGGCCAAUGGAACAGAAUGUUACAAUUCCUAGCAGUCCUCAUACAAGCAACCGAAAUGUCAGGCUUGGAACUAGCUGUAUUCUUCAAUGGAUGUUUUGAAUCUCCACGACUUGCAGACUGGAUUCAAAAUCAAUUGCAAGUCCGAAUUAAAGUAAACAAUGUAUUAAAACACAUUUCAACAAAAGGUACUCCACCACCAAAAAUAUGGUGGACUCCGCCGGUAUGUCUGAGAACCAGUUUACGUAUGGCUUUGCGGCAUUUAAAUGUUACAGUUUUAUGUAGCAUGGACGACCAUCACCAAGAAGUGAUUGCUUAUUGCCGAGAGAAUAACUUUAACGGCUUGAUCGCCGACGAUGCAGAGUAUGCUGCAUUCGAUCCUCCAAGAUAUUUCUCAUCUGAGCAGUUGAAGCUUACAUACAAGGGUUCUCUUGAUACAAAGGAAUAUGUUCUCCCAGAACUUUUAAAAGCGUUAAACAUCCCAUCCGAUAGGCUAUGCCUGCUGGCGGCAUUACUCGGAAAUUAUAUCUUAACUGAACAGGACCUGGCUGAUUUUUAUAAGAAGCUGAACGUUAACACUAAUUUGAAUAAGAUUAACGUGGAGAACACGAUAAAAGCGAUUGCUAGUUUCGUUAAGGACCUUCCAUCCGUAGAAUUGGAUGUAGCAUCGCAAAAAGUAUUCGGAUCUCUAUCAGACCCGAGGUGUUCCAAAUUGAGGCAGUCGGUUCAGUACUACAUAAACGGAACUAAAGAAGGAUUUCUGCAUUACAAGCCAGUGAAACCAACUAGAGUACACAAAUUGGACUCUAAACAAAACGCAGUACAAACACAGUCAAAUUUAUCCGAAACGCCGUCGACGUCAGAAGGUGAUUCCAAUUUGGAAACAUCUAGAUUCGCAUCCGAAACGGUAGAGAGUGAACGUGAAAGCUUGAACGCUUACAAACAGGCAACAGCAAAUGCGAAGUCUGCACCACAAAUUGUGAUAGAUCCACCGGGUAUUCAGGGUCAUGGAGACGCCGAUAACGUUAGGACGGAAGAAGAACAAAGUAAUGGACACGCUGUCAAUGGUACACACAACCUUCUAAUUAGUUCGUCGAGUUCAAGCAGCAGUUCUUCCGCCACGUCACCGUCUCAUGCAACGGCCGAUUCUGCUAGACAAGCAGAAAAGACUACUAAUAUUCCGACCACGGUGCCAGAAGUGAUGCGUACUGCAUCUGAGAGGCAUCAGAAAGGAUUGAUGUCCCCUCAUAUAUAUCAGAUUCUCAUCGCUGGCGAAAUUAAAUUGCCGGUGCUCCUGGAGGACGAAAUUCACCGCGAAUUCCCAUCUAUUCACAUUAUCUACAGACCCGUAAGACAGAUGGUGUACGCGAUAUUGUUCAAUCUUCACCAUCGAAUGUAUUUAGCUGCUAAGAGUAAAGAGAAGGGUGACAGCGAAAAAGUCGAAGUCCCAGAUGUUGUGAUAAAGGAAUGGGUAUGGUCCAAGACGAAUCCAUAUCAGACUCCAGAAUUGGUGAAGGCAGAACAAAUCGGUUGGGGCGUUCCUACGAUUCAACGUUUAUGGUUUGGCACAGGCAUAGAUGACAAACGCCGUCGACUGCGAGGAUUUUUGACCUGUAUGAGAUCGGACACGCCUCUUAUGUUAAAUACUUCCUACGUACCGCAACACCUCUUAGUCAUGGCUUGCGUAUUAAGAUAUAUCAUGUCGUUUUCUGACAAAAUAAAGAUUCUACGUCGCCAGGAACUAGAUGUUUUCAUUGCACAAGCAUUUUCACCUGAGCUCAUGAACGCCCAAUAUUUGCAAGAUCUUCAGCUUCCAUUAGUGACAUCUCGCGGAGUACAGCUAGCUACAUUAUUUAUGGCUGGUGUCGAGACUGCUCUCUUGGCUAACGAUGCAUGCGGUGCACCCAUUCCAUGGUUAAUGUGCUGCCCGUGGUUAUACUUCGAUGGGAAAUUAUUCCAUCAUACAUUAGCCCGUGCCACGAUCGCUAAAAACUUACUGGAACUCUGCAGUGGCCAUAUAGACCGCGUUGUGAAAGUCGAACGAAUGAGAAAAGCUGUACUGGAGGGUAUUAACGUUGUCUUUACACGUCCACCGAUGCCCGUUGCUCCAAGUAUUCGUGUUUCGGUGCCACAAAACAUUUUGGCUGCUGGCUGUACAAUUAAUGACGGUUUGAUUCGCGGCCGCGGCAGUGGAACGAUGCCUCAACGUGGACUAAUGCGUCGUCCUAUACCGUCUCGUGGUGGUCAAUUGGAGAUAGCUGGAGUCGUCGUAGGCCAGUGGGGCCCCAACUACGGACAACCCGGUCGCCUGCCUCAACCUCUUCAAGGACAUCCCCGUGGACGACUUCCUCCACAGGUGACGUCGAUAGGCGGUCUCAAGUAUGGUCUUCCACGUGGUUUUGCUCCCAUGGGUCGGCCUACGUUUCAAACGCGCGGAAAUAAUCGUACGCAAAUAGCAGGACGUGGAAAGAAAAUGCAAAUGAAGGUAACUGGUAAAAAGAAGACCACCGUUAAAAAGACUAAAGAAGUCGAAAAGAAGGAUACCAGGGGACGAGGUAACGGUGUUGAUGGAAUAACGGAUUACAAUGACUCGAUUCCAAACAUGAACGCAACAAAAGAUGCACUGCCUGUGCCAGGUCAAUUCGAGGAUGCCGUGGAGAACGGCAAAGGGAUAGAAAAAGGGCAGGGCGACGCGUCGCUCGUCGCUCCGGUUGCUGCCGAGAAUUAGGUAUUUAUACAUCACUUUUUAUCGACUUUUAGACACUCCCGGAUAUGACACAAGACUGCAAUCAAAAUCUUAUUAUACGUGUAACGGAUGAUUGUGCGCUACGCGACAUCUGAAAGCUCCGAUGUGUAUCGACGGAAGCUUUGGAUUGGUUUUACAUCUGAGAGAAUGAACAAAAAAGAGGCAGAAUUUCUUUGCGAAUUUUUUCUGAACGCUUCAAAGACCUAGACAUUUGUUUUCUGAAUCGUAUCGGAAGUUUCGCACAAGAGGAAGAUCGUUCAAAUGUCGCGCGCAGGAUCACUCGAUAAUGUCUAAAGCUCUGAUGGGGCCAAAACUAAUUAAACUAAUGUAGGAGACACGACAUCGGUUAACGAUGUCGGGAUAUGUAACACAUACAUAUAAAGGAUAGACCCGUUUUCGACGUACACAAUAUGAUGUCCUCACUGCCAAAACGUACCAUUCAGUGUGUAAGAUAAAAAAGCGAAACAAACAAAGAAAAGAAAAAGGAAAAAAAAACAGCAAAAGAAAAAUAUAGGAGAAAAAACAGAAUCGUGCUUGCGCUAAGCGAGCGUGUUUCGCCGACUCCGCUCGGAAUCACCAAUGGGAUGAACUCGACUGAUUAGUGUAUGCGUGCGCUAAUUUUACUAAACGAAAAACAAGUCGUCGUCAGCUGCUAAUAAGUAUUUAAUUCUUAAGAAGUGUGAUUAUUUUUUUUACAAUGAAAAUAUAUAUUUUCCGGUAUUAUAUGAAAUGCUCGCAUUGACGGUCUCAGUACUCUGAUUUCCUGUGAGAAUUUUAGUAUGACGCUUGGACGGAUGGACAGACGGACCGACGAGACGCACAGAUGGACCAAAUUACAGGUAGUCGAAUGAUUUUUGUAGAUAAGAUUACGCGAGACAGGAUACUGAGAUAUUCAUUAGCAAAUGGAGACUGAUGCUUUUCAUAUAGGUAAAAUAUAUAUUUAUAUAUAUAUAUGAUUUAGAUUAGAGAUUCCCGAUAUAUAGGAUAUUAUAUGUGUAAGUUGUGAAUGCUCAUACGUAUGCGUGUUGCCUGUAUUCGUGUGUAAGAGAGAGAGAGAAUCGGUUGUUUAUUUGCGAAUCGCUGUGCCGUGAAAGAAUGGGUGAACGUCAGAACGUGAAAGAGAAACUUAGGAAAACAUAAAAAAUGUAUAUAUAUAUAAACGUGGAAUGUUAAACAACAUUGGUGCUGUGUGGACGUGCGCGCAAAAACCUGAAGGAACGGGGAACGGUUGCGCACUCGUGCGCACAGCUUCACUUCCGAAUAUAUUUAUUUGCUGUUGCGUCAAAGGGGAAGAAUGCGUGUUUGCGACUUCGGGACGAAUUACAAAUUUAUGUACGAUAAUUGUAACCGUGAAUCCUCGGGGCUUUUCGCAAGUGCCUCGACCCUCGAAGAAGAACGAACAGUUCUUUAAAAGGGUUGGCCUCGCGAUACCCUCGGUAUCGCUUAGAAAAUAUGCUACACUUGCGUCGCAAAUUUGUUCAGUUUAUUUCGAGAAAGCGACGGUAAGCAGCAUACCAUUUAAAAGUUUAUGAUUGUCUGUACGAAUAUUGCUGAAACACGUUAUUUCCUUUUCCGUUCUCGUUUCGAAUGAAAAUUCUAAGAAGAAAUACACGUUGGAAUUGUUGCAAUAAAAUAUUUGCGCUUUCUGUAGCAUAUUUUAAGAGAUAUGUAUGCCUCGUUUAAUUGUAUAUACGAAUAGUUACUUUAGAAGCGACAGUGUGAUUGGUGUACAUAAAGGAAUAUCCGGAUAUCACGUGGUUGCCACGUAAACCGGGUUAGGGAACGAUUACGUUAAAUGAAAAACAAAAUACUAUUUAUAGAGUAGAAUAGUCGAAGAGACUUUCUACCAAAGAUCAUUGGAGUUCGAAGAAUGGGGAGUUUCUUUUAUCCAUGAAGCAUGAUAUACAUAAAAUGUGUAAAAAAAAAAAAUGAGAGAAAACGGAGAAGCAAGACAGCACGACAGAACACGAUUAUUAAAAUAAGAACAAAAAAUGUGAAGGAUAAAUAAGAGCAAAGAUUUGUUAUUGCGUAAAAUGCAUUAAGACAAUGAGAAACUUUAUAUAAUUUGAGUGACGGUUGAACAAACCGGAACAGGAGAGAGGGAAAGAGAGAGAACGUUAAGCCAGUAAUUAAGAUUGUGGAGGGAUAGAGAUGGGGGAGAAAAGUGGAAGUGCAUUAGAUGAUGAUGGUAUCAUGUUGAAUAUGUUUGACAUCCGUGAUUAAUGUGUAAAAAAGUCUCAUUAAUUCUUCUGUGUCUCCGAAGCUCUCAGAGUUCUGAGUUGCUUGAAAACUUAAAAAAAAAAAAAAAGAAUAAAAACAGGAAACGAUAAGAGAAA